rnacentral:rRNA from 1 species
AACGAACGCUGGCGGCAUGCCUAACACAUGCAAGUCGAACGAGAUCUUCGGGUCUAGUGGCGCACGGGUGCGUAACGCGUGGGAAUCUGCCUUUUGGUUCGGAAUAACAGUUGGAAACGACUGCUAAUACCGGAUGAUGACGAAAGUCCAAGGAUUUAUCGCUAGAGGAUGAGCCCGCGUAGGAUUAGCUAGUUGGUGUGGUAAAGGCGCACCAAGGCGACGAUCCUUAGCUGGUCUGAGAGGAUGAUCAGCCACACUGGGACUGAGACACGGCCCAGACUCCUACGGGAGGCAGCAGUGGGGAAUAUUGGACAAUGGGCGAAAGCCUGAUCCAGCAAUGCCGCGUGAGUGAUGAAGGCCUUAGGGUUGUAAAGCUCUUUUACCCGGGAUGAUAAUGACAGUACCGGGAGAAUAAGCUCCGGCUAACUCCGUGCCAGCCGCCGCCGUAA